AAAGGGCUUGCAUAAAAGAACUAGAUGAUAAACUUGACUAGCUUACAUCCUUUCUUCUUGACUCUUUCUCUAUUUAUUCUAAUAAAUAUAAUUUUACGAAAGUGUUAAGGCUUUGAUGAUAGUGAAGCCCAAACAAUAUUGGAGCAGUAUACAAGUCCGCAAUACCAAAUUGAGAUGCAUACCUCGGUAGGCAAUUUUGUAUCUGGUUGAUAGGCUUUUCAUCUCAAUUUACUAUUUUAACGAUGUACAUUGAUAUAAUUAUUGUUGCUUGAAAGUUGUAAGUUUUAGUCAAGUGGUGGAUUUUAUUAUCUUGUUUAGUUGGUGAGAUAUACUUGAAGAAUCCUAAAUUGUUUGACAAAAUAGGAAUACAAUCUCCUAGUCAUAGAAUUCUUUCGGAAGGACCUUUUGGCAGUGAAGUUGGUGGCAAAGGCUAUAGCUGGUGAAGCUGUUGUUUCGUAUUACCAAAUGACUAUAUCUGAAUUUGUUGAGUUGGUUUUGGUGUUGGUUAUGCUCAUAUUAGAGAUCUGUCACUAUCUCUAAUCCUCAACCAGUGAUAUCAUGAUCGUAAAUAGAUCUUAGAGAACAUAAUGGCUCUUGCAGUUGAUCAAACAAAUCAUCAAUCUUGGACAGCAGAUAUCUGUUCUUGAAUGUCACCUUAUUGAGCUCUCUAUAGUCAAUGCAAAGAUGCAUCGACCCAUCUUUCUUCUCACAAAUAGUACUGAUGCUUCUCAAGAUGACACACUAGGUCGAAUAAAGCUCUUGUCCAACAAUUCUUACAAUGGGUCCUUUAACUUCUUCAACAUAGUUGCAGCCAUUAUGUAUGGAGCUUUCGAUAUAGGAACGGUGUCUACUUCCAACUCAAUAGCAAAAUCAACCUCUCUAUGAGGUGUAAGUCCUGAAAGCUCUGUAGAUACCGUAUUUGGUCAUAUAUUUAUUUUUUUAUUUUUUUAUUAUAAAA